rnacentral:misc_RNA from 1 species
GGCGAUUUAUAUACAAGUUUGCAUGGAUGAUUGUGUCAAUUCCAUUUUCAAUAUUAUUGAAAUUUAUUAAAGAAUAAAGUUUAUAGCCACGUAUAAGAUAAUAAGCAUGGGAAAGUGCCUGUGUUCUUGAACAGGCAUAUCCCCAUCUUGCCUUUGAAUUUCAGUCUAUUGAUUUAACAACAUUUUGAAACUAAUGUUAACAACUUAAAGUUGAACAAAAGACACAAUCAAGAAUCUUUC